AGCUUUGCAUAGUGGCAGUAUCACAGCCAAUGAGGUUUAUCUGAGGCACGAAUCUUGUUAAUUAAAAGCUUCUCCCAGUACCCCAUCACGACGACUUGAAAUAUAGUCGGCAUUGGCAAUUUUUGAUAGUCUCUAUGGAGU